rnacentral:tRNA from 1 species
GAGGGGCGGUUAAACCAACAAGAACUGCUAAUUCUUGCAUCUKGGCUUUAAACCCCAGCCCCCUUA